AUUGAACGCUGGCGGCAUGCCUUACACAUGCAAGUCGAACGGCAGCACGGGAGCAAUCCUGGUGGCGAGUGGCGAACGGGUGAGUAAAGUAUCGGAACGUGCCCAGUCGUGGGGGAUAACGUAGCGAAAGUCCCGCUAAUACCGCAUACGAUCUAUGGAUGAAAGCGGGGGAUCGCAAGACCUUGCGCGAUUGGAGCGGCCGAUAUCAGAUUAGGUAGUUGGUGGGGUAAAGGCUCACCAAGCCGACGAGCUGUAGCUGGUCUGAGAGGACGACCAGCCACACUGGGACUGAGACACGGCCCAGACUCCUACGGGAGGCAGCAGUGGGGAAUUUUGGACAAUGGGCGAAAGCCUGAUCCAGCCAUGCCGCGUGCAGGAUGAAGGCCUUCGGGUUGUAAACUGCUUUUGUACGGAACGAAAAGGUUUGGCCUAAUAAGCUGAGCUCAUGACGGUACCGUAAGAAUAAGCACCGGCUAACUACGUGCCAGCCGCCGCAGUAA
rnacentral:rRNA from 1 species